rnacentral:piRNA from 1 species
UCACAGGCAUUUUAUAAAUUGAGGAGCACU